rnacentral:rRNA from 1 species
UACGGGGGGGGCAAGCGUUGUUCGGAAUUACUGGGCGUAAAGGGCUCGUAGGCGGCCAACUAAGUCGGACGUGAAAUCCCCAGGCUCAACCUGGGAACUGCGUCCGAUACUGGAUGGCUUGAAUCCGGGAGAGGGAUGCGGAAUUCCAGGUGUAGCGGUGAAAUGCGUAGAUAUCUGGAGGAACACCGGUGGCGAAGGCGGCAUCCUGGACCGGCAUUGACGCUGAGGCGCGAAAGCUAGGGGAGCAAACGGG